rnacentral:rRNA from 1 species
CCUACGGGAGGCAGCAGUGGGGGAUAUUGCACAAUGGGGGAAACCCUGAUGCAGCGACGCCGCGUGGGUGAAGAAGUAUUUUGGUAUGUAAAGCCCUAUCAGCAGGGAAGAAAGAAGACGGUACCUGACUAAGAAGCCCCGGCUAACUACGUGCCAGCAGCCGCGGUAAUACGUAGGGGGCGAGCGUUAUCCGGAUUCACUGGGUGUAAAGGGAGCGUAGACGGCCGUGCAAGCCAGGAGUGAAAGCCCGGGGCCCAACCCCGGGACUGCUCUUGGAACUGUGCGGCUGGAGUGCGGGAGGGGCAGGCGGAAUUCCUGGUGUAGCGGUGAAAUGCGUAGAUAUCAGGAGGAACACCGGCGGCGAAGGCGGCCUGCUGGACCGCGACUGACGUUGAGGCUCGAAAGCGUGGGGAGCGAACAGGAUUAGAUACCCCAGUAGUC